CCCCGCACAAGCAGCGGAGCGUGUGGUUUAAUUCGAUGCUACACGAAGAACCUUACCAGGGUUUGACAUACAAGUAGUAGGGAAAGGAAACUGGACCGACCCUUCGGGGAGCUUGUACAGGUGCUGCAUGGCUGUCGUCAGCUCGUGUCGUGAGAUGUUCGGUUAAGUCCCGCAACGAGCGCAACCCUUGCCAUUAAUUGCCAUCAUUCAGUUGGGCACUUUAAUGGGACUGCCGGUGACAAACCGGAGGAAGGUGGGGAUGACGUCAAGUCCUCAUGGCCCUUAUGGCCAGGGCUUCACACGUAAUACAAUGGUCGGUACAAAGGGUUGCCAAGCCGCGAGGUGGAGCUAAUCCCAUAAAACCGAUCGUAGUCCGGAUCGCAGUCUGCAACUCGACUGCGUGAAGUCGGAAUCGCUAGUAAUCGUGAAUCAGAAUGUCACGGUGAAUACGUUCCCGGGCCUU
rnacentral:rRNA from 1 species